rnacentral:rRNA from 1 species
GACGAACGCUGGCGGCGUGCCUAACACAUGCAAGUCGAACGGGACCGGGGCAACUUCGGUUCAGUGGCGGACGGGUGCGUAACACGUGAGGAACAUGACCUUCGGCGGGGGAGUAGCCGGCCCAACGGCCGGGUAAUACCGCGUACGACCUUCGGGGACAUCCCUGGACGGUGAAAGCAGCAAUGCGCCGAUGGAGUGCCUCGCGGCCUAUCAGCUAGUUGGGU